AUUGAACGCUGGCGGCAUGCUUUACACAUGCAAGUCGAACGGUAACAGGCCGCAAGGUGCUGACGAGUGGCGAACGGGUGAGUAAUGCAUCGGAACGUGCCCAGUCGUGGGGGAUAACGCAGCGAAAGCUGCGCUAAUACCGCAUACGAUCUCUGGAUGAAAGCGGAGGACCGAAAGGCCUCGCGCGAUUGGAGCGGCCGAUGUCAGAUUAGGUAGUUGGUGGGGUAAAGGCUCACCAAGCCAACGAUCUGCAGCUGGUCUGAGAGGACGACCAGCAACACUGGGACUGAGACACGGCCCAGACUCCUACGGGAGGCAGCAGUGGGGAAUUUUGGACAAUGGGCGCAAGCCUGAUCCAGCAAUGCCGCGUGCAGGAUGAAGGCCUUCGGGUUGUAAACUGCUUUUGUACGGAACGAAACGGUGAGCUCUAAUACAGUUUGCUAAUGACGGUACCGUAAGAAUAAGCACCGGCUAACUACGUGCCAGCAGCCGCCGCCGUAA
rnacentral:rRNA from 1 species